CAGCAGCCGCGGUAACACGAAGGGGGCUAGCGUUGUUCGGAUUUACUGGGCGUAAAGGGUGCGUAGGCGGACUGAUAAGUCAGGGGUGAAAUCCCAAGGCUCAACCUUGGAACUGCCUUUGAUACUGUUAGUCUUGAGUUCGAGAGAGGUGAGUGGAACUGCGAGUGUAGAGGUGAAAUUCGUAGAUAUUCGCAAGAACACCAGUGGCGAAGGCGGCUCACUGGCUCGAAACUGACGCUGAGGCACGAAAGCGUGGGGAGCAAACAGGAUUAGAUACCCCAGUAGUCCCUGUCUCUUAUAC
rnacentral:rRNA from 1 species